rnacentral:rRNA from 1 species
GACGAACGCUGGCGGCGUGCUUAACACAUGCAAGUCGAACGGAAAGGCCCUGCUUUUGUGGGGUGCUCGAGUGGCGAACGGGUGAGUAACACGUGAGUAACUGCCCUUUACUUUUGGGUAACCUCAGGAAACUGGGGCUAAUACCGGGAAAGAGGUCCCUCCGCAUUGUUGGGGGUGGGAAAGUUCGGCGGUUGGGGAUGGACUCGCGGCUUAUCAGCUUGUUGGUGGGGUAGUGGCUUACCAAGGCUUUGACGGGUAGCCGGCCUGAGAGGGUGACCGGCCACAUUGGGACUGAGAUACGGCCCAGACUCCUACGGGAGGCAGCAGUGGGGAAUAUUGCACAAUGGGCGGAAGCCUGAUGCAGCAACGCCGCGUGCGGGAUGACGGCCUUCGGGUUGUAAACCGCUUUCGCCUGUGACGAAGCGUGAGUGACGGUAAUGGGUAAAGAAGCACCGGCUAACUACGUG